GACGAACCGAGCGAACGUUGUUCGGAAUCACUGGGCUUAAAGGGCGCGUAGGCGGGCACUCAAGUCUGUGGUGAAAUCCGGCAGCUUAACUGUCGAACUGCCGUGGAUACUGGGUGUCUCGAGGGAGGUAGGGGCGUGCGGAACUGAUGGUGGAGCGGUGAAAUGCGUUGAUAUCAUCAGGAACACCAGUGGCGAAAGCGGCUUACUGGGUCUCUCUGACGCUGAGGUACGAAAGCUAGGGGGAGCGAAGGGG
rnacentral:rRNA from 1 species